GCAUAUUUAUACAAAGUUAACACUUUUGGACUCAAGAAAUUUGUUAAAGUGUCCCUACCGAUUGUUGUUAGGAAAAAACACGUAAUUUUCUCAUUUACGACACAUUUUUCUAAAAACCGCAGAGUGGCGCCACUGCAGUAUUUGUUUGGUCGACAUACCACGUUGGUUGUCGUAAAGUGCGGUAUUUGAGUUAUAUUUUAGAAGAGCCUAGACAAAAUGUGCUCCUUGUCAUGUGCAGUAACCAUCGCAAACCCUCCGGACUCGUGUAACGCCGUUAGUUCGCCGUGUGUUUCGUGCGAUCUACCAGUGUCGACAGUGAGUGUCUUACUACAGCGCCCGUCCGAGCUGCCUUUGUUCUGCCGAGCUGCCUGCCCGCGCUCCCGUGAAAAGUCUGGUACUGGAGCUUCGAAUCGUAGUGUAUGGAAGGCUGUUGAAGGUUGUGCUUUUGUGGAGCUGGAGUUCAUCGGAAGUUCUACAGUGCUUGCGCCAGAAAGACGUCGGUGCCUCGGUACCUUUGAGACGAAGGAGCGUUGGCCAAGUCUUUUUGAAAGGCUAUGCGGAUUCUGGAGGCAUCCCUACAUCGAGCAGGAACCUGCUGCACUGCUGGAAGCUGGACAGCACGACAAUAAAGCACGUGAUCUGCGUGCUUUCUCAAAGGUAGACAUCGGCGACGGUGUAUAUGUUGAAAAGGGCCUGCUGAAGAGGCUGCGCCUGGAUGCUAACAACUCGGGCUUUCAGUUCGCGGGGGGCCUCCUUAAGGCUCCUUUUACAAAAGUAGAGGUUGAAGGGAGGCGCUACACAUGGAUGCGCAGCAAUUGUUUGUGACAGCGUCACUGCUGGCAGGCCUGGCCUGCCUUUUCGCUUCGUUCUGGGUCUUCCACGUUAUCUACUCGAAAAAGGCCCACAGGAUUUUGACAUUUAUUGAGCACUGCUUUCUUGAUUUUUACUACACAAAGCCGCAGGUGAAAGCAUUGGAUUUACUCAAUUUUUACAAGACAAAACUAUUGCUAGGCAAAAAAAUUUUUAGAUGCAUAUCCUCAAGAAAGUUUCUGUAAAAAUUAUUUUGCCUAACGAAAGCACUCGUGGGUUCUGUGGCUGGCAGGUUGCCCAAGCCAUGUAGCACAGUGCUUGCUUUAAAGGGACACGAAAGAGAAAAUUUAUUUGAGCUUUAUUAAAUCAUUCUUCUACCGCACUGAAAAAACAACUCCCACCAUGAGAAUUGGCUUGAUAAGCCAGAUAACUUGCAAAAAUGAAAACUGGUGUCGCCACCACCACCUUAUAGUUCCUGCACCAGCUCGCUGUGAUAUGGAAUUUGACGGUGUCUGGUCGGGUCUAGCUAAUGUUCUACUGGCCAAUAUUGAUGAAUUCUGUUGUAAAGGUGUCAAAGAAUAUACUUAGUUGAAGUAUGACUCCACACUGAUGUGCGGGCACUGCAUAAAACUUGAAAAAUGAAAGUUAUAUCUUCAUUUUCUCAUGUAUUAAUCCGCUUAUUGCCACAAUGUUCAUGAAUACAGUUCUGAAAGAUUGUUUUAUCAGUCUAAAAUGAUUUACUGUUUCUCUUUAGUAUCUCUGUAAUGGACCUUCAGCAACAAAAUGUGUGUUAGUAUGCCACAGGUAUUCUCAGCAGGGGCAAAAGCACCAGCAGCAUGCUGAAUGAUUCUGUACCAACUGAUAACUUGAAGGAUGUCCUGUGCCACUAGGGUUAGGCCAACGUGGCUCUGUGUUAAUCACCACAAGUGUAUUAUGCAAAACUUAAUGGCCCAGAAAUUGGUAAUUCAGGGGGGAGUUGAAUUAGCUAUUUUUAUU